ensembl:lncRNA LINC00494 long intergenic non-protein coding RNA 494
ACACCCACCUCCCUGCUGUUCCUCACCCAGGAUCACCAAGGUCUCUCCUACCCCGGGGCCUGUGCACCUGCUGUGCCUCUGCUUGGGGUGCUCUUCCCAGGGCUUGCCCACCUCCUCAGAGAGGCCUCCUGACCCCUGACACGGCCUUGCCCUUCACCUCUAUCGUCCUUUAGAACAGCCCCCACCUCCCGCACAUCAUGCAGUUGCAGGUUCAAUGGCUACUGCUUGUCCUCCAGACUCGAUAGGCCUCAUCACUCCUCAGAUGAUUCUCGAAGGAUAACACACAGGCCAGUGGGCAGCCCUAGGCCAGGGGGAUUACCAAGACAUGAAGACUUUCUUUCUGUCUCAGCAACCUUCAUGCUUGGUCAAGCAAAGGUGUUGCUUAAGUCAAACCCAGGGCAGGGGAGAGCAGUUGAAGCAAAGUGAGUCUUUGGAGGCCCUGUGGUUGUGGGGUCUGGUGUGGAGACAGUGAGAACGGAAAAGGUGGGAGAGGAGCAGUCAACCCGUGAAUGGCCCCAUUCAGACGCCUUUACCUGGAAGACGUGGCAGGAACAGUCAUCAGGAGGGGGCACAGUUGGAUUCUCUCCAGUGAAGAUGUCAGGAUGGACAGAAAUGUCAGCGUAAUCCAAAGAGGACACAAACACCCCUGCUAUUUUCUUGUCACCAGGAAAAGGCCAGCUCUAGGUUUGAUGAAUGUUUAGUGAAAGAAAGUUUGCAAAAGUAGAAAAGAAACUGACAUAAUGGUAGCCAAACAGGCUUUCUCUGCAUUAGAAGAGCUAAAUAUACCCUUGCAUGUCUGAUUAGAGAAAAACAAAACAAACAAGCAAAAGCUCCUCCGAUGCACAGAGGUACUGCUCCAUUGAACUAGACCAGAAGAGCUUGGGCCUGCCCCUUGGGAACAGGGGUCAACAUGAUGCGGUGGGCAGGGACCCAUCAUCUGACAAGAAGAUGCCCUGAGGGCAAUGGAAAGCACGGUGUGUCGGGAGAAGAUGGCCCUGAGGGCAGGUGCAUUCAGGUGCUUGUGAACGCUGCAGCAUGUUGGGUCUCUAGUUUUGUAUCAGUCAGCUACUCUCACAACAAUGCUGUGUAACAAACCACCCCAAACUCAGUUGCAAACAAUGAUAUUUAUUUCUCAUUCUCAUGUCCACAGGUCUACUGGGGUUCAUCCCAUCUGAGCCAGGCCUGGCUUUUCUUGGCUGCAAGCUGAGAGCUGGGUCCAGGUCUGCUGAACCAAGGUUCUCCCAUCUUCCUUGAGCCAGUGACAAUCAGAGGCCUAUUUCUUUCAUGACGGAAGGCAGGAGAACAAGCAGGCAAGACCAGCUGUGCUAGCACAUGGCACCCCUUUCCCACAUCACACCUGCUAACAUCCCAUUGUUCAAAGCAAGUAACACAACCAAACCCAAUAUCAACAGGACAAGAAAACAGACUCCACCUCUAGGUGCACAAACUACAGAGUCACGGACAGAGAACACAGAUCUAGGGAAGGAAGCUGGAGAAUGAGAACAAUGACCCUCAAUAACACAACCUCCCACAGGUUUCCAAAUCCCCAACCUGAGCAUAUUUCCAAGGAAACGGAAUCAUGGGUUCAGGGUUUUAGAGCAAGCAAUUUCUGCUCUCCCAGCUUAGUUUCCAUACCCUUAACACAGGGGCAAUGACGUCGCAUCGAAUCAUAUCUUAUAAGUCUGUGAUGAUGUUUCAACAACUGAACGCCAGAAAAGUGCUUAGAGCAAGGCCAGGUAGGAGGGACAGAAGCCAAUAAUAAUGAGUAGCAUCACUGUUAACCCGCAAAAUUCUGGGAAUUUCCUCGAAAGUCUAAUUAGAGAAUCAUGUCCCCAACAA